rnacentral:rRNA from 1 species
AAUGAACGCUGGCGGCAGGCCUAAAACAUGCAAGUCGAGCGCCCUAGCAAUAGGGAGCGGCGCACGGGUGAGUAACACGUGGGAAUAUGCCUUUUGGUACGGAACAACGUUUGGAAACGAACGCUAAUGCCGUAUGGUCCCUUCGGGGUAAAGAUUUAUUGCCAAAAGAUUAGCCCGCGUUGGAUUAGCUAGUUGGUAGGGUAAUGGCCUACCAAGGCGACGAUCCAUAGCUGGUCUGAGAGGACGAUCAGCCACACUGGGACUGAGACCCGGCCCAGACUCCUACGGGAGGCAGCAGUUAGGAAUAUUGGACAAUGGGCGCAAGCCUGAUCCCGCCAUGCCGCGUGAGUGAUGAAGGCCUUCGGGUUGUAAAGCUCUUUAGCCGAUGAUUAUAAUGACUGUAGUCGGAAAAUAAGCCCCGGCUAACUUCGUGCCAGCAGCCGCCGUAA